rnacentral:lncRNA from 1 species
GUUCACUAUAACUAAUCCUUUAGCAAACAAGUCAAUUCAAACAGUGAUCAGUUGAUUAAACUAACAUGCUUCCUAGUGUUCAGUUCGUAUCAAGCAAGACUUGUAAAUAUAGUUAAUCAAAUUAGUCAUUCAAUUAACCUCUUGUUGAUGGUCAUCAAACAAGGCUCACACAUUAACUUACUUAUUCCCAAGUUAAUCCUAGUUUCACAUUCGUUAUUCCUAGACUUAUAAUCUCGAUGGUCAUCAAAAUCAUAAGAGACAAACAAUCAAGCAGAUGUUCAUACAACUCAAUUUACUUAACAAUUAACAGCAAAUAAUUAUCAUUAAUACGUAAGGAUCUUUUAACAAGCUUGGCAAGAUAAAUUAAACNCCUACAUGCUUAAGCAGAGGCGCUCAACCUCAACCUUUAUUGGUUAAUGAUAAUAAUUUUCCUGGAUACAUUUCAGGUUUAGGCUGCUAAACAUAUUGCAUCCCUCAAACCAAGCGGGGUUAUGUUUUUGUUCCAUGAUUUCACUAAAAUAAGGGAGGCCACAAAUGCACUGUAACGUAUAUUGGCUCAACUAAACAUUUGAGUUCUCAUCGGAUUAUCUCAUACAAUAUUAGCAAAAUUCAAAUUAUCACUAGAUUUUUCUAAAUUAAACUAUUAUUUCAAGUUUUUAAAUUUUUAAAUUUUCUAAAUCUAGCAAUUUCAUUUUUCUUUUAAUUUUUAAUUUACUUUUACCGACCCCCUACCCCACACUUAUUUCAUACAAUGCCCUCAUUGUAUGCUAAAACGAAUUAAGAACAUAAAAAGGGAGAAAAAGGAACAGACUCCCCUAGGUAGUUGUGGCGAGAUCGAAUGGGGCUGCUACAAGUUGCUUCAAAUAUUGCUGAAAGACUGAAAACUUGAACUGCUGCUUCAGAAUUUACCGAAAAAUAAAAUCAAGACUGCCGACUUCAAAAAAAAUGUGGUGCACAAGAUUGCAAACAAAUGCAAUGUAUAAUAACCAUGACGUGGGAAAGUGUCGACCACGUCGUCUCGUCAAGAAUGGCAUCCUCUUCUCGCGAUGAAAUAUCCCCCACAACAUAGGAAAGUGUCAACCAUGUCAUGGCAGUCGAGAUGAUACUUCUUCCUCGCGUCGAAAUAAAACUCUAUGGUGUGGGAACAACUCAUCCAUAUCAAAAGAGUCAAAAUAUCGUAAAAAUGCCAAUCUUCUAAACAAUUGCUCACGAAAUCAAUAUGCACCCCACACUUAUGAAAAAUUGUGGGUCUUGACUAUAAUCUUCAAACUCUCACACGGCUUUCUCUAGCAACAGUCGGACCUAGCUGCUGAACUUACGGCCAGCUUUCUAAGGGCGAAAAUUCUGCAGAGAUCUAAACAAACAAAGAGCAUCAACAUGGAAAACAAAAAUAAAACACCCUGAAUUAAAGUUUAAUUACAUACCAAAUAAAAAAAUACUAAUACUAGCAACACAAAAAUAAACUAAAAUAACAUAAAAAUAAAAGGAUAACUAAAUCACUCAUCAUCUCCAUCAUCAUGCUGCUGUGUCCCAGAAGUACCGGCCCCAUCAUGUCGUGGCUGGAAUGGUGGUGGGUAGGGAACCGAGUACUGAAACCCCUGGUGGGCAAAGAAUGCGGUCAACGCAUCCCCAUACCACUGCUGUUGCCUGUGCACAUGUGCAACAUACUCACUAAGGUUCUAAACCCUCAUGUCAAGAUGGUCAAUGCCCUGAGCUAGGUAGCGCAUAUCAAUCUCCGGCUCAGGUCCCUGUUGCGCUCCCCGAGGAGCAGGUCUACGUCGCUGGACCCGUCUCGGCUGUGGCUCAAUGACACCCUCCUCAUCCACCAUGUCAUCUGCUCGUACUUGCAAGACACCAUCUCCGCCCCGCUCAAGUACACGCAUCGACUCUAACAACUGAAGGCUCAUCGGCCUCAUAUCAUGGAACACCAUCGAUCUCGUGAUCUCACGCAUCAACAACUGAUAUGAUCGGGCUAAUCGUGUGAUAAAAUGCGCUCCGCAAAUCGGGCUAUCCUCCCGAAGUCCCCUGGCCCUCCGUCCCAAAUAUGUGGCUAAAGCAACUGGAAGGUUCAGGUGCCUCCCUGGAGUAACAAGCGCCCAUAGGAAAUACAAGUCUGUCGAAGGCACUCUCUCACUGUUCUUAUGCUGUGUGAGAGACUUAGAAAUCAAACGGUGCAACAUUCUGUAUGCAGUAGACCGAAUCAUCCUCCCCCGUGCAGUAGAUGGCAUAUAUACUCCCCCUGUAAUCUCGACCCAAAAAGUGUUCUCGUUAUAGUCAUUUGGCCGGUCCGUGAGACAAUCAGCAAGGAAUGCCGGGAAGUGGACACUCCUCGUCUCAUCUGUUGUGUAUAUACCCACUCGAGUCGCAAGCUCUAUAACACUGCACUCCCGGUUCACACCCCCCAGUCUGAAGGCAAAAGCUGUCCUAUCAUCGGGUGCCUUCCUAGGGUCAUAGGAAACUGUAGCGUAGAACUCCAGCAAAAAUUCCCGAUAAACAGGCUCCUGGAUCCUGAACAAUCAUGCCCAUCCCUGACAUACGAACAAAUCCACUCCACUCGCGUCCGAGUGGAUGUAUUGCAAAAAAUCCUGGAUUAGUGCAGCAAGUCCAGUCCGGGUCGCCAAUUCCCAGUCGAAUGAUGGUGCUAUAUCGAUCUCCUUGGUGAGAAGUAGACUCAGAUUGGUGGAAUAUCGUGCCUGGGUUGCAUCGUUCAGAGUUUGCGGAAAUUGUAAGAAACGGUGAUCGGUCACGUUCUCGGGUAGGUUGGUCCUUUGAGUUCUUCGGGCCAUAAUUUGCAUAAAUAAACACAAAUCCAAACAAAAUAUAACAACAUUAACAAUUUUUUAAACCAAAAUCAUGGUCAUGGACAUUGAUCUUUACGCUGGGCGUAUAUCCAGCAUACGCUGGGCGUACGUCCAGGUUUAUGAAUCUGUCCUCCCGCUUGUUCUAAGGUCAUAACCCAUAUCAAAAUUUUUAAAUUAAGAAAAUUUGCAAGCAAUAAACAUAGUAGGGGCAAACACAAGGGGACAUAUCGAGCAUACGGGAUCAUAUCAAAUAUACAACCUCGUGGUCCAAGGCAGUAAAAAAACAGGACCACUCUUUGAAUUAUGAAUCAAUCCCCUGCAAUCCCUUUGUCUAUUCAAGAUUAACAAACAUUUAAUAGGGAAACUUCAUAAAAGCAGUCAAGAAUCGAAGUCAAAAGAGCGCACGUUAGGCGUCCGUCCCCGAGCUCAAAUCGAUGGGUCUAUCACGGGAUUAAGGACAAAUUAAGUCCUAGGGUUUAGUCCAUUGAUGGAAAUCGGUCUAUUCAAGCCCUAAUCAAAACAUACAAUUGUGAAAUCGGCCCCCAAUUCAAGAAAUGUAUAAACCCUAGAUUUCGAACAAAGGUACUAUGCAGCUAAUUCCAUCGAUUGAAACACAAAUCAAAGCCAUUGAAUACCCGAAAAACAUACCUGUGUGUCGAAUUUUACAAGAAACGAAGAAAAAUCGAGAUUCUUUGGGAGAGCUUGGCCGUCAAAGUUCGUGUGUGCGAAGGAAGGGAAUUUGAAAAAAUAACAAAAAAAGUCAAGGGUAAAAUGAUAAAACCUGGUCGCCGAUUUACGCUGGGCGUAACGUGAAGUUACGCCAGGCGUAACCCCAACUCCGUGAAAAGUCCAUCCGCGAUCAGUGGUUUAUUACGCUUGGCGUAAUUAAAAUUACGUUGGGCGUAAUUGAAACUGAAAUAUUCCCUUUCUUUAUUUAAAAUUCCUUUCUUUUAACUAAUUAAUUUAGGGACUUAGAAUUAUAAUUAAUUAUUUUUCUUUUUAAUUGCUUCAACAACUGAUGACUUUCUGAUGAGUGACAUAAAAAAAUGAGACGUCAUAAUCACUUAUCUUUGUCAAGAUCAAACAACAACGGUUGAUCAAAAACCUUUGCACGCAAGAAUUGGUUUGCGAAAACAACCACUUUCGGGACCCGUUAAAAUAUUUCCUUUGUUUUCUUUGCACUUUUAACUAAAAGCGAAAAAAGAAAUGACCUAACUAGUCAAGAACAGCAAGAGCUCGGUCUUCCACUUAACCACCACAAUACGCCUUGCUAUACUACGCCUCAUGGAUUGAGUUGGACAAAUCAACAAAAUAGUAGGCCAACCAGGUCAAGAAUUCCCUAAUCGCUUGCAUUCUCGAAACCCAUGCAAAAAGUAAAGUCAAGCAAUGUGUACAAUCCCAAAUUCCUGCAAUUAACAACAAGAACCUUCCCGACAAGUGAAAUGAUAUCAACGAAAAUAAAACUAAAAAUAAAAACUAACUAAAACAAAUAACGAAUAAUCAAAUAAACUAAAUUAAUGACAAACCCUUCCCCGGCAACGGCGCCAAAAACUUGAUGUGCACAAAAGUACUCACUAAUUUUAAUAUUUAUAACCUAACAAACUUAGACUAACUAUGCACUUAUAGGCAGUGUACCUAGUCAGAUUACAGUAUAGCUUAGGUAAGUCGGGUGUCGAUCACAGGGAACGGUGGUGAAUUAAUUUAAAAUAUUUGAUUAUAUGUUACAUGUCACACGAAAAGAAUAAAGAAAUAGUUUAAUAAAUCUCAAACGAACAAUCAAUUAACAACUUUCGAUAAACUAACAGGAAUGCAAAUAUCUUCAGGUACUUUGGUUUAGAUAAAUUAUACCUUAAAAACAAAGAUAAUUGCAUACACAAAUUCGUUUAUUCAUGUUCACCGAUUCCUAAAAUGAUUAGAUUCGUGUUCACUAUAACUAAUCCCUUAGCAAACAAGUCAAUUCAAAUAGUGAUCAGUUGAUUAANCAAGUCAAUUCAAACAGUGAUCAGUUGAUUAAACUAACAUGCUUCCUAGUGUUCAGUUCGUAUCAAGCAACACUUGUAAAUAUAGUUAAUCAAAUUAGUCAUUCAAUUAACCUCUUGUUGAUGGUCAUCAGACAAGGCUCACACAUUAACUUACUUAUUUCCAAAUUAAUCCUAGUUUCACGUUCGUUAUUCCUGGACUUAUAAUCUCGAUGGUCAUUAAAAUCAUGAGACAAGCAAUCAAGCAGAUGUUCAUACAACUCAAUUUACUUAACAAUUAACAGCAAAUAAUUAUCAUUAAUACGU